GUGUUGGACACCGACGACUCCGCUGUCAGACGAAGACAGACCGUCUAAUUGGUUAACACUUUGGCGGGUGUGCAGGGAUGCGAUGAUGGGGUUGCUUGCUUGGCGUCUACUGCUGCCACUGCUGGGACGGCCGACGGCGUGGGUACGUUACUACGUUCCAGGUUAGGAAAUACAUGUGUGUAUGUAUGUAUGGCAUGAGUAAGCAUUCCCUUCAUGGAAAUGUUAAUUAGGCACAGGCGCCUCCCAUGCGUGUUCUACCCUAAAUUUCACGCCACCACGCCCCUCCCCCGGCUCACCCAAGCUCUUUUUUAUAAUCUACAAAAUAAUAAUAAUAAACAUAUAAUGCCUCAAACCAGCUGUUCUCGCCUGCCGACACUCCAAAUAUCUCCACCAAGCUUCCCACUUUCCCACUCCCCACCUUUUUCUUCUUUUCUUAUCUUUUUUACCGCUACUUCAAAAUGAAGUACUAAGAUUUUUCUGUAAUAUUUAAUAUUUGAGAAUGAAUAAAAUAAUGAAAAUCAAUUUUCAA